rnacentral:rRNA from 1 species
UACGAAGGGGGCUAGCGUUGCUCGGAAUUACUGGGCGUAAAGGGCGCGUAGGCGGCGCAAGUAGUCAGGCGUGAAAUUCCUGGGCUUAACCUGGGGGCUGCGCUUGAUACGCUUGUGCUAGAGGAUGGAAGAGGCUCGUGGAAUUCCCAGUGUAGAGGUGAAAUUCGUAGAUAUUGGGAAGAACACCGGUGGCGAAGGCGGCGAGCUGGUCCAUUACUGACGCUGAGGCGCGACAGCGUGGGGAGCAAACAGG